CCUACGGGCGGCUGCAGUGGGGAAUAUUGGACAAUGGGCGAAAGCCUGAUCCAGCCAUGCCGCGUGUGUGAAGAAGGCCUUCGGGUUGUAAAGCACUUUCAGUGGGGAAGAAAGCCUUGGGGCUAAUACCCUCGAGGAAGGACAUCACCCACAGAAGAAGCACCGGCUAACUCCGUGCCAGCAGCCGCGGUAAUACGGAGGGUGCGAGCGUUAAUCGGAAUUACUGGGCGUAAAGCGCGCGUAGGCGGUCUGAUAAGCCGGGUGUGAAAGCCCCGGGCUCAACCUGGGAACGGCAUCCGGAACUGUCAGGCUAGAGUGCAGGAGAGGAAGGUAGAAUUCCCGGUGUAGCGGUGAAAUGCGUAGAGAUCGGGAGGAAUACCAGUGGCGAAGGCGGCCUUCUGGACUGACACUGACGCUGAGGUGCGAAAGCGUGGGUAGCAAACAGGAUUAGAUACCCGAGUAGUC
rnacentral:rRNA from 1 species